rnacentral:misc_RNA from 1 species
GAUGAAGAGCGUAGCGAAAUGCGAUAAGUAAUGUGAAUUGCAGAAUUCAGUGAAUCAUCGAAUCUUUGAACGCACCUUGCGCCCUUUGGCCAUUCCGAAGGGCAUGCCUGUUUGAGUAUCAUGAACACCUCAACUCUCAUGGCUUGCCAUGAUGAGCUUGGACUUUGGGGGUCUUGCUGGCCUGUGGUCGGCUCCUCUCAAAUGAAUCAGCUUGCCAGUGUUUGGUGGCAUCACAAGUGUGAUAACUAUCUGCGCUCGUGGUUUCCAUCAGAUAACCUCCAGUGAUGGAGGUUCGCUGGAGCUCAUAAAUGUCUCUCCUAAGCGAGGACAGCUCUUUUAAUGUUUGAUCUCAAAUCAGGUAGGACUACCCGCUGAACUUAAGCAUAUCAAUAAGCGGAGGA